UUUUGAACUUAGUGACAUUUGUAUAUUUAUUUAUGCUGAAUGUAGUUUUUCAUUUGUUUGACUUUCAGUAUGGUGAAUAAAGCCAGUUUGGAUGAUUGAGCUCAUAAUUUUUAACUAAUGUCCACACUCAUAGUGUUUAAUUAGGAUUGGCCAGUCUCCAUCACUCUGUGAGUCAGAGGAAGAUAUGUCGCUGGAUUGCUACACUGCCUGGCUUCACAUUGUAUUCUGUCAGGUGUCUUUAUCCUUCAUUUUUAAACAUCUCUGCUAAGAGAAUAAUGAAAAAUAACACAAAUAAUGCCAUAUCAGAUAU
rnacentral:lncRNA from 1 species